GAUGAACGCUGACAGAAUGCUUAACACAUGCAAGUCUUUGGCGAAGCUGUGCUUGCACAGCCUAGCCAAGGCGGACGGGUGAGUAACGCGUAAGGAACUUGCCCUGCAGUCAGGGAUAACAGACGGAAACGACUGAUAAGACCUGGUAAAGUCAGGCGGACUCAUGUCCAGCCUGAUGAAAAGAGAUGCUGCAGGAGAGCCUUGCGUCCUAUUAGCUUGUUGGUGGGGUAACGGCCCACCAAGGCGAUGAUAGGUAGCCGGCCUGAGAGGGUGGACGGCCACAAGGGGACUGAGAUACGGCCCUUACUCCUACGGGAGGCAGGAGUGGGGAAUAUUGGAAAAUGGGGGCAACCCUGAUCCAGCAAUUCUGUGUGGAAGAUGAAGGUUUUCGGAUUGUAAAGUGCUUUCAGGAGGGAAGAAAAAAAUGACGGUACCUGCAGAAGAAGCGACGGCUAAAUACGUG
rnacentral:rRNA from 1 species